rnacentral:rRNA from 1 species
UACGGAGGGUGCGAGCGUUGUUCGGAAUCACUGGGCGUAAAGAGCGUGUAGGCGGCCAGGUAGGUCCGUUGUGAAAACUCGAGGCUCAACCUCGAGACGUCGAUGGAAACCAUCUGGCUAGAGUCCGGAAGAGGAGAGUGGAAUUCCUGGUGUAGCGGUGAAAUGCGCAGAUAUCAGGAAGAACACCCGUGGCGAAGGCGGCUCUCUGGGACGGUACUGACGCUGAGACGCGAAAGCGUGGGGAGCGAACAGG